rnacentral:rRNA from 1 species
UACCUAUAAGACUGGGAUAACUUCGGGAAACCGGAGCUAAUACCGGAUAAUAUAUUGAACCGCAUGGUUCAAUAGUGAAAGACGGUUUUGCUGUCACUUAUAGAUGGAUCCGCGCCGCAUUAGCUAGUUGGUAAGGUAACGGCUUACCAAGGCGACGAUGCGUAGCCGACCUGAGAGGGUGAUCGGCCACACUGGAACUGAGACACGGUCCAG